rnacentral:rRNA from 1 species
GACGAACGCUGGCGGCGUGCUUAACACAUGCAAGUCGAACGGUGAAGCGCCUUCCUUUUUGGUGGGUGUGGAUGAGUGGCGAACGGGUGAGUAACACGUGAGUAACCUGCCCCCUUCUUCUGGAUAACCGCGUGAAAGUGUGGCUAAUACGGGAUAUUCUGGGUCUGUCGCAUGAUGGGUCUGGGAAAGAUAUUGUUUCGGUGGGGGAUGGGCUCGCGGCCUAUCAGCUUGUUGGUGGGGUGAUGGCCUACCAAGGCGGUGACGGGUAGCCGGCCUGAGAGGGUGGACGGUCACACUGGGACUGAGGCACGGCCCAGACUCCUACGGGAGGCAGCAGUGGGGAAUAUUGCACAAUGGGCGCAAGCCUGAUGCAGCGACGCCGCGUGAGGGAUGGAGGCCUUCGGGUUGUGAACCUCUUUCGCCAGUGAAGCAGGCCUGCCUCGUUUGUGGGUGGGUUGACGGUAGCUGGAUAAGAAGCGCCGGCUAACUACGUG